AUGAACGCUAGCUACAGGCUUAACACAUGCAAGUCGAGGGGCAGCAUGAACUUAGCUUGCUAAGUUUGAUGGCGACCGGCGCACGGGUGAGUAACACGUAUCCAACCUGCCGAUGACUCGGGGAUAGCCUUUCGAAAGAAAGAUUAAUACCCGAUGGCAUAGUUCUUCCGCAUGGUAGAACUAUUAAAGAAUUUCGGUCAUCGAUGGGGAUGCGUUCCAUUAGGUUGUUGGCGGGGUAACGGCCCACCAAGCCUUCGAUGGAUAGGGGUUCUGAGAGGAAGGUCCCCCACAUUGGAACUGAGACACGGUCCAAACUCCUACGGGAGGCAGCAGUGAGGAAUAUUGGUCAAUGGACGAGAGUCUGAACCAGCCAAGUAGCGUGAAGGAUGACUGCCCUAUGGGUUGUAAACUUCUUUUAUACGGGAAUAAAGUGAGGCACGUGUGCCUUUUUGUAUGUACCGUAUGAAUAAGGAUCGGCUAACUCCGUGCCAGCAGCCGCGGUAAUACGGAGGAUCCGAGCGUUAUCCGGAUUUAUUGGGUUUAAAGGGAGCGUAGGCGGACGCUUAAGUCAGUUGUGAAAGUUUGCGGCUCAACCGUAAAAUUGCAGUUGAUACUGGGUGUCUUGAGUACAGUAGAGGCAGGCGGAAUUCGUGGUGUAGCGGUGAAAUGCUUAGAUAUCACGAAGAACUCCGAUUGCGAAGGCAGCCUGCUGGACUGUAACUGACGCUGAUGCUCGAAAGUGUGGGUAUCAAACAGGAUUAGAUACCCUGGUAGUCCACACAGUAAACGAUGAAUACUCGCUGUUUGCGAUAUACAGUAAGCGGCCAAGCGAAAGCGUUAAGUAUUCCACCUGGGGAGUACGCCGGCAACGGUGAAACUCAAAGGAAUUGACGGGGGCCCGCACAAGCGGAGGAACAUGUGGUUUAAUUCGAUGAUACGCGAGGAACCUUACCCGGGCUUGAAUUGCAACUGAAUGAUGUGGAGACAUGUCAGCCGCAAGGCAGUUGUGAAGGUGCUGCAUGGUUGUCGUCAGCUCGUGCCGUGAGGUGUCGGCUUAAGUGCCAUAACGAGCGCAACCCUUAUCGAUAGUUACCAUCAGGUGAUGCUGGGGACUCUGUCGAGACUGCCGUCGUAAGAUGUGAGGAAGGUGGGGAUGACGUCAAAUCAGCACGGCCCUUACGUCCGGGGCUACACACGUGUUACAAUGGGGGGUACAGAAGGCAGCUACACGGCGACGUGAUGCUAAUCCCGAAAGCCUCUCUCAGUUCGGAUUGGAGUCUGCAACCCGACUCCAUGAAGCUGGAUUCGCUAGUAAUCGCGCAUCAGCCAUGGCGCGGUGAAUACGUUCCCGGGCCUUGUACACACCGCCCGUCACACCAUGGGAGUUGGGAGCGCCCGAAGUCAGUAUCCUAACCGCAAGGAGGGAGCUGCCGAAGGCGAGACCAAUGACUGGGGUG
rnacentral:rRNA from 1 species